GACGAACCGAGCGAGCGUUGUUCGGAAUCACUGGGCUUAAAGGGCGCGUAGGCGGGCUGUCAAGUCUGGGGUGAAAUCCCGCGGCUCAACCGUGGAACUGCCUUAGAUACUGACGGCCUCGAGGGAGGUAGGGGCGAGCGGAACUGUGAGUGGAGCGGUGAAAUGCGUUGAUAUUCACAGGAACUCCGGUGGCGAAGGCGGCUCGCUGGACCUUUUCUGACGCUGAGGCGCGAAAGCUAGGGGAGCAAACGGG
rnacentral:rRNA from 1 species